UACGAAGGGGGCGAGCGUUGUUCGGAUUACUGGGCGUAAAGGGCGCGCAGGUGGUUCGUUGCGUCGUGCGUGAAAGACCCCGGCUCAACUGGGGGAUGUCGUGCGAUACGGGCGGACUGGAGGCCAGUAGGGGGAUGCGGAAUUCCGGGUGUAGUGGUGGAAUGCGUAGAUAUCUGGAGGAACACCGGUGGCGAAGGCGGCAUCCUGGACCGGCAUUGACGCUGAGGCGCGAAAGCCUGGGGAGCGAACAGG
rnacentral:rRNA from 1 species